UGAUGGAACUGGACAUAAUUUUCGCAAUGUUAACCAUCUUGCAGAGAUGACUUUUAAUGAACCAAUUAAAUCUUCUGUUAAUGAUAUGAAUAAGCAAAAAUUACAGAAUACGAAGACGAAAAAAGAAAGUAACAGACCAUUAGAUGAUACAGUUGAACUAUUCAAUUUUGAGCCUCAAUAUAAAAAGUACAUAACCAGAAAAAAAACAUACUAUGUUACAAUGUUUGUUAGUUGUGAUCAA
rnacentral:lncRNA from 1 species